GAAAGCAAUGAAGGGAAAUGAAUGAGAGAAAAACCACCUAAUCCAGAUCUUCCAUUCGACCCACGACCCAACCCGUUUGCUACGAACACCCCGACGCCUUUCACGGCGUUUCUCCGACAAGUCACGAGGAAUCACCACCACCAAUUCCCACCUAAACUUAACGGUUGUGGGUCACGAUUUCAUGACGAACAAACGUCGUCUUCUUCGGCAAGUUCGUGGGGUGCACGGAGGUAAUCUGCCAUUUUUGAAGCUAGUACAGUCGACCACCACCAUCAAUCGACUUCCUUUGAGGUGCAUCGGUGGAAAGUGACUCCAUCCUUGCUAGCUCGAGCAGUUCCUGGGCAACAAAAUAUUUGAGUUAGAGUCGAGGCACACAAUCCCAGUGUCGGGGCACUUUCGCUCAAGCAUCUUGGAGUUUCCUUUGUGUAUAACCCAUUCCUCGAUUCGUACCUCUCUAUAAUAAAUCUUUCACAUUAUUCUUGGUUAGUUGUAUGCUCUGAACACGGUUAUGCAUUAGUAUAUUUCUUUCUAAUCACAUAUUUUAAUUUGCAUGCAUGUUUAAAAUGGCUUUGUCAUCCUGGGGUGUCAGCCAGCAUGUGCCUACCAUGAUAUUUGGGGUUAUCGGGGUUGGGGCAUGUCAGCAGGAGCACUACCGCCGCAAAGCAUCACCAAGGUCGAUGUCAUGGCAAUCCAUGGUGGGAGCUAAACGGCUCAUGGGCAGAAGGUUCAAGAGCACCACAGGCAAGAUGCCCAAGUGCCAGCAAAGCAUUAUAACAACAACUGCCAACCAAGUAGGCUAGAAGGUCAAGGCCCAAACAACGCAACAUGUAAUCCAAGUGCAAGCCCAGAACACUCCAGCCCACGGCCAUAUGGGCCAAGCAGACCCGGCUUUGCACCUGCGUACUCAAUGUCUGCUACAAUUCCACCACUCACGGAGAAUCACAACCUUGUUAAACCUAGGGCUUCUAUUUUGUUCUUUAUUUAUAUUUAAAUAAUUAUUUUUUCAAACCAGAAGAUGAGCAGCCAGUUCUAAUUUGUUUUGGUUGUGGUUUCUCUGCUCCUAUUAUACAUAUAUAUACA